UACGUAGGGUGCAAGCGUUGCCCGGAUUUAUUGGGCGUAAAGGGCGCGUAGGCGGCUCUGCACGUCCGUUGUGAAAUCGCCCGGCUCAACUGGGCGGGGUCAGCGGAUACGGCAGAGCUUGAGCAAGCUAGGGGGCAAUGGAAUUCCCGGUGUAGUGGUGGAAUGCGUAGAUAUCAGGUGGAAUACCGGAGGCGAAGGCGGGUAACCAGCCAGACACUGACACUCAGAUCCGAAAGUGUGGGGAUCAAACAGG
rnacentral:rRNA from 1 species